rnacentral:sRNA from 1 species
AAGGAAGACAAGGAUGAAAAGAAGAAGGGGGAGGAUGAAGACAAAGGUCCUCCCUGUGGCCCAGUGAACUGCAAUGAAAAGAUUGUGGUCCUUCUGCAGCGCUUGAAGCCUGAGAUCAAGGAUGUCAUUGAGCAGCUCAACCUGGUCACCACCUGGUUGCAGCUGCAGAUACCUCGGAUUGAGGAUGGUAACAAUUUUGGAGUGGCUGUCCAGGUGAGAGCACUGCCCCACUUCCCUGCUUUUUUCUAGUCCAUGCUUCCUUCCACUUUCCCCCUUGCUUUUUUUCCCUAGGAGAAGGUGUUUGAGCUGAUGACCAGCCUCCACACCAAGCUAGAAGGCUUCCACACUCAAAUCUCUAAGUGAGUGACCACCCAUGUGCACACUGUUUUUGUUUUGGGAGACCUCCUUCUUCUACUCCAUACACACUUCUCCUUCCACAGGUAUUUCUCUGAGCGUGGUGAUGCAGUGACUAAAGCAGCCAAGCAGCCCCAUGUGGUAGGUGAGGCCCAGGUCAGGGUGCAUGGGGGAAGGACACAUGUAAGGUCAGGCCUGACCCGAGCUUCCCACAGGGUGAUUAUCGGCAGCUGGUGCACGAGCUGGAUGAGGCAGAGUACCGGGACAUCCGGCUGAUGGUCAUGGAGAUCCGCAAUGCUUAUGUGAGGAGGCGAGGGCAGGGCAGGGGUGGGCAGAGGCAGCUUUCCCAGGCCACCCACUCCCUGACCCUGCAGGCUAGGGGUUAAGGGUGACAAAGCUCAGCUUCUCCACAAGGCUAGAAAUGGGGCACAGAGCCACUGGAGGCCUCUGACUGACCUCUACUCCCUGGCCCUGUAGGCUGUGUUAUAUGACAUCAUCCUGAAGAACUUCGAGAAGCUCAAGAAGCCCAGGGGAGAAACAAAGGGAAUGAUCUAUUGAGAGCCCUCUCUCCCAUUCUGUGAUGAGUACAGCAGAGACCUUCCUGCUUUUUACUGGGGACUCCAGAUUUUCCCCAAACUUGCUUCUG